rnacentral:rRNA from 1 species
GAUGAACGCUAGCGGGAGGCUUAAUACAUGCAAAGUCGAGCGGCAAGUUUUGAUAGCAAUAUUGGAACCUAGAGCGGCGCACGGGUGAGUAACGCGUACAUGACCUGCCCUAUACUGGGGGAUAGUCUUGGGAAACUGAGAAUAAUCCCGCAUGUGAUUAGAAUGCUGCAUGGCAAAUUAAUUAAAGCUGAGGCGGUAUAGGAUGGGUGUGCGUCUGAUUAGCUAGUUGGUAGUGUAACGGACUACCAAGGCGAUGAUCAGUAGGGGGCUGAGAGCGUGACCCCCCACACGGGUACUGAGACACGGGACCCCGACUCCUACGGGGAGGCAGCAGUAAGGAAUAUUGGUCAAUGGAGGGAACUCUGAACCAGCCAUCCCGCGUGAAGGAUGAAGGGGCUCUGCCUUGUAAACUUCUUUUGCAUGGGACGAAAAACUUAUUUAUUAAGGACUGACGGUACCAUGAGAAUAAGCACCGGCUAACUCCGUGCCAGCAGCCGAC